AUGCCCACUUCGGCAGCACAUAUACUAAAACUGAAACGACACAGAGAAGAUGGGCAUGGCCCCUGUGAGGAUGACACACAAAUUCGUGAAGUGUUUCAUAUUUCU
rnacentral:snRNA from 1 species